rnacentral:rRNA from 1 species
UAGGGAAUCUUCGGCAAUGGGGGGAACCCUGACCGAGCAACGCCGCGUGAGUGAAGAAGGUUUUCGGAUCGUAAAGCUCUGUUGUUAAGGAAGAACGAGUGUGAGAAUGGAAAGUUCAUACUGUGACGGUACUUAACCAGAAAGGGACGGCUAACUACGUGCCAGCAGCCGCGGUAAUACGUAGGUCCCGAGCGUUGUCCGGAUUUAUUGGGCGUAAAGCGAGCGCAGGCGGUUAGAUAAGUCUGAAGUUAAAGGCAGUGGCUCAACCAUUGUAGGCUUUGGAAACUGUUUAACUGGAGUGCAGAAGGGGAGAGUGGAAUUCCAUGUGUAGCGGUGAAAUGCGUGGAUAUAUGGAGGAACACCGGUGGCGAAAGCGGCUCUCUGGUCUGUAACUGACGCUGAGGCUCGAAAGCGUGGGGAGCGAACAGG